UGCAUGGCUGUCGUCAGCUCGUGCUGUGAAGUGUGGUUAAGUCCCGCAACGAGCGCAACCCUCGUUUCUAGUUACCAGCACGUAAUGUGGGGGACGUCUAGAGAGACUGCCGGUGACAAACCGGAGGAAGGUGGGGAUGACGUCAAGUCAUCAUGGCCCUUAUGUCCUGGGCUACACACGUGCUACAAUGGCCGGUACAGAGCGCAGCGAUACCGCGAGGUGGAGCAAAUCGCAGAAAGCCGGUCUCAGUACGGAUUGGAGUCUGAAACCCGACUUCAUGAAGGUGGAAUCGCUAGUAAUCGCGCAUCAGCAUGGCGCGGUGAAUACGUUCCCGGGCCUU
rnacentral:rRNA from 1 species